AGAGUUUGAUCCUGGCUCAGGACGAACGCUGGCGGCGUGCCUAAUACGUGCAAGUAGAACGCUGAAGGGAGGAGCUUGCUCUUUCCGGAUGAGUUGCGAACGGGUGAGUAACGCGUAGGUAACCUGCCUGGUAGCGGGGGAUAACUAUUGGAAACGAUAGCUAAUACCGCAUAACAGUAGAUAUCGCAUGAUAGCUGCUUGAAAGGUGCAAAUGCACCACUACCAGAUGGACCUGCGUUGUAUUAGCUAGUUGGUGAGGUAACGGCUCACCAAGGCCACGAUACAUAGCCGACCUGAGAGGGUGAUCGGCCACACUGGGACUGAGACACGGCCCAGACUCCUACGGGAGGCAGCAGUAGGGAAUCUUCGGCGAUGGACGGAAGUCUGACCGAGCAACGCCGCGUGAGUGAAGAAGGUUUUCGGAUCGUAAAGCUCUGUUGUAAGAGAAGAACGAGUGUGAGAGUGGAAAGUUCACACUGUGACGGUAUCUUACCAGAAAGGGACGGCUAACUACGUGCCAGCAGCCGCGGUAAUACGUAGGUCCCGAGCGUUGUCCGGAUUUAUUGGGCGUAAAGCGAGCGCAGGCGGUCAGAUAAGUCUGAAGUUAAAGGCUGUGGCUUAACCAUAGUACGCUUUGGAAACUGUUUAACUUGAGUGCAAGAGGGGAGAGUGGAAUUCCAUGUGUAGCGGUGAAACGCGUAGAUAUAUGGAGGAACACCGGUGGCGAAAGCGGCU
rnacentral:rRNA from 1 species